ensembl:lncRNA
AGCACCUGCGGCAUAUGGAAGUUUCCAGGCUAGGGGUCAAAUUGGAGCUGUAACUGUCGGCCUUUACCACAGCCACGGCAACGUGGAGUCUGGGCUGCAUCUACAACCUACACCACAGCUCACAUCAACACUGGCCCCUUAACCCGCUGCGAGGCCAGGGAUAGAACCUGCAUCCUCACGGAUACUCGUGGGGCUCGUUUCUGCUAAGCCACAGUGGGAACGCCUCUUAUGCGUGACUUUUGGCCAAAGGGACCGGCUCUACCAAAAACAGGGACUGAAGCAUACCCAGGUGACUAUCUGGCUCACCUGAUUCUCUUCCCAGUGGGGCUUUGAAACAUGGGGACAAACUUUAGACACAGAGAAUGGAGCCAUUGCCUCUGUCGGGAUGGGAGAAAUUCACAGAUGUCUUGACAGCAGCUACCUCGCGACACUGAGUGGUAGCGGACCCCUGGAAAAACUCUGGGUAAGAAAGACUAUCAAAGGAGCAUCAGGUCCAGAUUGCAAAUUGCUUUAGCAGCUAAAACAGGCAGAAAGAUAGAGCAACUCACGCUAAUCCAGGGGGUUUAUGCUUCGGGCUGGCUGCCUCUGACGCCCACCCUUGACCCAGCCCAUUCAUCAGUAUUUUGAUAAGCAGAUUCCCCUGCAGAGCUUCUUAAUCUGGGUUCCCAGAGGAGUCUUGCAGAGAUUAAUGAGAGCCCUGCCGCUGCCUGCCAGCUCUUGAGGGUGGGGCAGUUAAAUCACAAAAGGGAAGGGACUGGUCGCGGAUGCCCAAACUCUCCCAUCACUGGACCUGACGCCUCUAGGGGUCAACUCAGUAUCUUUUCAACUUAAAUACCUGGAUCUGUUUUUAUUUUUAUUUUUAAUCCACUUUCUCCUUGGUAUCUAGGGAAAUUAAAGCCCUGGCUCACAUCUUCCUUAAGGCCAGCUUUUAGCCAGAGCCAUGACAGCAUCUGGAGCUCAACAAAGAUUAGGGGCAGAGGCAGGCAGGAAUGCCAGGGACAGAGAGGAAAUCCAGUGCUACCAAGGGCACCACCAAUGUGCUGUACCCGCCAUGCAGCCCUCCCACCAAAUACCCUCUGGCUACAGUCCCCUGACAGUGGUGGGAGGGGAAGCUGGGGCUGCAACCCCAAAGCCUGAGCCCUCACAGAAGUGCAGCCCCUAAGACAAAAAAAAAAAAAAAAAAAGGGAGUUCCCAUCGUGGUGCAGUGGUUAACGAAUCCGACUAGGAACCGUGAGGUUGCGGGUUUGGUCCUUGCCCUUGCUCAGUGGGUUAACGAUCCGGCGUUGCCAUGAGCUGUGGUGUAGGUUGCAGACGCGGCUCAGAUCCCGCGCUGCUGUGGCUCUGGCGUAGGCCGGUGGCUACAGCUCCGAUUCCACCCCUAGCCUGGGAACUUCCAUAUGCCACGGGAGUGGCCCAAGAAAUAGCAAAAAAAGACAAAAAAAAAAAAAAGAAGGCUGGUCUCUGCUCUUGCAAUGCCAGAUCCUCAACCCACAGUGCCAAGCCAGGGGUGGAACCCGCAUCUCAGCAUUCCCAAGAGGCUGCCGAUCCCACUGCACCACAGCGGGAACUCUGCAGGCUGGGUUCCCUGUGAGACGUGAUCUGGGGAAAUUUUCUGGGCUGUCCUCUGGAGAGAUGGGACUUAUUUUGAAGUAAGAUGUGAUGAGGGAACCCUAGAUUUGAGUUCAGUUUGUGAAUUAUUGGGGCGGGGGGGGGUAAAAUCAGGCUUACCGAGCUUGUAGGACCUUGCAUGUGCUGGAAGAAAAAGUCUUACAAAUUCCAAGUGACAGGUAUGGCAAGAAGGAGGAGGACGAGCCGGGACAGCAGCUUCAACUCUGGCUGCUCCCGUGCUGACAUGUGUCCACUGAACGCAGUCUCAGGACUUGGGGGAAAAAGACCGUCACGCGGAGCUCCGAGCUCACAAGCAGGUCUAAAGGGACCGGCAAGUCAACUAACAAAGGCGUCGGGGGUGGGAACCCCCCUGGGUCUUCCCUCGCCCCUCCUGUGACCACGGCUGGCAUCUCAGGCCCGCUGUCCGUGAACAGACAGGGAAAUAGCUAACUACCCAGCUGAGUCCACGUUCAGCCCCAGAGGAAGGUCGACGGCUGACUGUCUAGGAGUCUGCGGUCUCACUGACACCAGCAGCUCUCAGAGUGUGGAGCACAGCUGCCCUCCGUCUAUGGCUGUGGACUGGGGGGGGGGACAAACAUGUGCUGGGAGGGGGGCCGUCCCAGCCCCUCCGGCCAGGCUCCUCAGAGGCUGGCGCAUCACCCAGCCCCCAGGUGGGGGCAUCAUGGUGGAGACCACGGCUGCCCCUGCAUCAGCUGUCCUGGUUCAGCAGACCUUCCUUCUUUAGCCAGACCUGGAAGCCAAAGAGGUCAGGCCAACCUGCAGCUCGGGGUCCAGCCCAGACGGGCGGCUACCUGGCCAGCCUCCUGGCCUCUGUAUGCGGCGCAGCCUGCUCUGGAUGGUAGGCUCCCUGCCCAGGAUUCGCAGUGAACUUGGCUGCUCCCUGCGGGAUUUACUGGGUCUGGACCUGCCUGCGGUAGAAGGUCAAGUGUCAGUUCAACGAGGGAGCCCCUGUCCCCCUUCGUCUU